rnacentral:rRNA from 2 species
AUGCAAGUCGAGCGGGGGAAGGUAGCUUGCUACCGGACCUAGCGGCGGACGGGUGAGUAAUGCUUAGGAAUCUGCCUAUUAGUGGGGGACAACAUCUCGAAAGGGAUGCUAAUACCGCAUACGUCCUACGGGAGAAAGCAGGGGAUCUUCGGACCUUGCGCUAAUAGAUGAGCCUAAGUCGGAUUAGCUAGUUGGUGGGGUAAAGGCCUACCAAGGCGACGAUCUGUAGCGGGUCUGAGAGGAUGAUCCGCCACACUGGGACUGAGACACGGCCCAGACUCCUACGGGAGGCAGCAGUGGGGAAUAUUGGACAAUGGGGGGAACCCUGAUCCAGCCAUGCCGCGUGUGUGAAGAAGGCCUUAUGGUUGUAAAGCACUUUAAGCGAGGAGGAGGCUACUUUAGUUAAUACCUAGAGAUAGUGGACGUUACUCGCAGAAUAAGCACCGGCUAACUCUGUGCCAGCAGCCGCGGUAAUACAGAGGGUGCGAGCGUUAAUCGGAUUUACUGGGCGUAAAGCGUGCGUAGGCGGCUUAUUAAGUCGGAUGUGAAAUCCCCGAGCUUAACUUGGGAAUUGCAUUCGAUACUGGUGAGCUAGAGUAUGGGAGAGGAUGGUAGAAUU